rnacentral:rRNA from 1 species
GACGAACGCUGGCGGCGUGCUUAACACAUGCAAGUCGAACGGAAAGGCCCUGCUUGCAGGGUACUCGAGUGGCGAACGGGUGAGUAACACGUGGGUGAUCUGCCCUGCACUUCGGGAUAAGCCUGGGAAACUGGGUCUAAUACCGGAUAGGAGCCAUUUUUAGUGUGAUGGUUGGAAAGUUUUUUCGGUGUAGGAUGAGCUCGCGGCCUAUCAGCUUGUUGGUGGGGUAAUGGCCUACCAAGGCGGCGACGGGUAGCCGGCCUGAGAGGGUGGACGGCCACAUUGGGACUGAGAUACGGCCCAGACUCCUACGGGAGGCAGCAGUGGGGAAUAUUGCACAAUGGGCGCAAGCCUGAUGCAGCGACGCUGCGUGGGGGAUGACGGCCUUCGGGUUGUAAACUCCUUUCGCUAGGGACGAAGCUUUUUGUGACGGUACCUAGAGAAGAAGCACCGGCUAACUACGUG